rnacentral:rRNA from 1 species
CUUUCAACAACGGAUCUCUUGGUUCUGGCAUCGAUGAAGAACGCAGCGAAAUGCGAUAAGUAAUGUGAAAAGCAGAAUUCAGUGAAUCAUCGAAUCUUUGAACGCACAUUGCGCCCGCUAGUAUUCUGGCGGGCAUGCCUGUUCGAGCGUCAUUU